CGCUGAACGGUGGGCGGCAGACCUCGAAAGCGCGUGAGGUGAAAGCCUCCGCGGGUUCGAAUCCCGCCGCCACCGCCA
rnacentral:tRNA from 1 species